rnacentral:sRNA from 1 species
GUUGGGUGUGGUGGUGCAGACCUGUAAUCCCAGGGACUCAGGAGGCUGAGGCAGGAGGAUUGUGAGUUCCCAGCUGACCUGGGCAAUUUAGUGAGAUCCUGUCUCAA